rnacentral:ncRNA from 2 species
UUCCCUGAGGGGCGCUGCAGCGGGGUACCCCGUCAGGCUCAGGGAGACCAGCUUUAAAAACAACGGCGCUCGCCUUUA